ACGUAGGGGGCAAGCGUUGUCCGGAUUCAUUGGGCGUAAAGAGCUCGUAGGCGGUUCAGUAAGUCGGGUGUGAAAGCUCCGAGCUCAACUCGGAGAGGCCACCCGAUACUGCUGUGACUUGAGUCCAGUAGAGGAGCGUGGAACUCCUGGUGUAGCGGUGGAAUGCGCAGAUAUCAGGAAGAACACCUGCAGCGAAGGCGGCGCUCUGGGCUGGAACUGACGCUGAGGAGCGAAAGCGUGGGUAGCAAACAG
rnacentral:rRNA from 1 species